rnacentral:snRNA from 1 species
GUGCUCACUUCAGCAGCACACAUACUAAAAUUGGAAUGAUACAGAGAAGAUCAGUGUAGCCCCUUCACAAGGAUGACAGAAAUUUGAGAAUCUGCAAUGGCACUU